rnacentral:rRNA from 1 species
GGCCCGGGGGGGCGUGCUAUACAUGCAAGUCGAACGAGUUCUGAUUAUUGAAAGGUGCUUGCAUCUUGAUUUAAUUUUGAACGAGUGGCGGACGGGUGAGUAACACGUGGGUAACCUGCCCUUAAGUGGGGGAUAACAUUUGGAAACAGAUGCUAAUACCGCAUAAAUCCAAGAACCGCAUGGUUCUUGGCUGAAAGAUGGCGUAAGCUAUCGCUUUUGGAUGGACCCGCGGCGUAUUAGCUAGUUGGUGAGGUAACGGCUCACCAAGGCAAUGAUACGUAGCCGAACUGAGAGGUUGAUCGGCCACAUUGGGACUGAGACACGGCCCAAACUCCUACGGGAGGCAGCAGUAGGGAAUCUUCCACAAUGGACGCAAGUCUGAUGGAGCAACGCCGCGUGAGUGAAGAAGGCUUUCGGGUCGUAAAACUCUGUUGUUGGAGAAGAAUGGUCGGCAGAGUAACUGUUGUCGGCGUGACGGUAUCCAACCAGAAAGCCACGGCUAACUACGUGCCAGCAGCCGCGGUAAUACGUAGGUGGCAAGCGUUAUCCGGAUUUAUUGGGCGUAAAGCGAGCGCAGGCGGUUUUUUAAGUCUGAUGUGAAAGCCCUCGGCUUAACCGAGGAAGUGCAUCGGAAACUGGGAAACUUGAGUGCAGAAGAGGACAGUGGAACUCCAUGUGUAGCGGUGAAAUGCGUAGAUAUAUGGAAGAACACCAGUGGCGAAGGCGGCUGUCUGGUCUGUAACUGACGCUGAGGCUCGAAAGCAUGGGUAGCGAACAGGAUUAGAUACCCUGGUAGUCCAUGCCGUAAACGAUGAAUGCUAGGUGUUGGAGGGUUUCCGCCCUUCAGUGCCGCAGCUAACGCAUUAAGCAUUCCGCCUGGGGAGUACGACCGCAAGGUUGAAACUCAAAGGAAUUGACGGGGGCCCGCACAAGCGGUGGAGCAUGUGGUUUAAUUCGAAGCAACGCGAAGAACCUUACCAGGUCUUGACAUCUUUUGAUCACCUGAGAGAUCAGGUUUCCCCUUCGGGGGCAAAAUGACAGGUGGUGCAUGGUUGUCGUCAGCUCGUGUCGUGAGAUGUUGGGUUAAGUCCCGCAACGAGCGCAACCCUUAUGACUAGUUGCCAGCAUUUAGUUGGGCACUCUAGUAAGACUGCCGGUGACAAACCGGAGGAAGGUGGGGAUGACGUCAAAUCAUCAUGCCCCUUAUGACCUGGGCUACACACGUGCUACAAUGGAUGGUACAACGAGUUGCGAGACCGCGAGGUCAAGCUAAUCUCUUAAAGCCAUUCUCAGUUCGGACUGUAGGCUGCAACUCGCCUACACGAAGUCGGAAUCGCUAGUAAUCGCGGAUCAGCACGCCGCGGUGAAUACGUUCCCGGGCCUUGUACACACCGCCCGUCACACCAUGAGAGUUUGUAACACCCGAAGCCGGUGGCGUAACCCUUUUAGGGAGCGAGCCGUCUAAAGUUGAACAAAAAU